rnacentral:rRNA from 1 species
GACGAACGCUGGCGGCGUGCUUAAUACAUGCAAGUCGAACGAAGUGGCGAACGGGUGAGUAACGCGUAAUCAACCUGCCCUUCAGAGGGGGACAACAGGUGGAAACGACUGCACAUACCGUAUUCUGAAGGAGGGGAUUGCGUCUGAUUAGCUAGUUGGAGGGGUAACGGGCCACCAAGGCGAUGAUCAGUAGCCGGUCUGAGAGGAUGAACGGCCACAUUGGGACUGAGGCACGGCCCAGACUCCUACGGGAGGCAGCAGUGGGGAAUCUUCCGCAAUGGACGAAAGUCUGACGGAGCAACGCCGCGUGAGUGAUGACGGCCUUCGGGUUGUAAAGCUCUGUUAAUCGGGACGCGGUACCGGAAUAGAAAGCCACGGCUAACUACGUGCCAGCAGCCGCGGUAAUAC